rnacentral:rRNA from 1 species
UACGUAGGUGGCAAGCGUUAUCCGGAUUUACUGGGCGUAAAGGGUGUGUAGGCGGGACGGUAAGUCAGAUGUGAAAACUAUGGGCCUAACUCAUAGCCUGCAUUUGAAACUGCUGUUCUUGAGAGUCGGAGAGGUAAAUGGAAUUCCCGGUGUAGCGGUGAAAUGCAUAGAUAUCGGGAGGAACACCAGUGGCGAAGGCGAUUUACUGGACGACCACUGACGCUGAGACACGAAAGUGUGGGGAGCAAAC